rnacentral:lncRNA from 10 species
UGAUGUUCUUGAAAAUUCCUCUUAGUCCUGAGAUUUAUUGUUUAAAAAUUAAAAUACAAACAACACUAAGACUUGGAUCCCACCUCAAAAUCAUAAGGCAGCAUAUUAUGGUGCAGUAUUUUCCUAGCUGUGGUAUUCAUAUUUUUCCAAUUCUAGGUACCAUUUGAAAAGUUUCUAACUUAAUAGUUUUCUUCAAAUCAAGUCAUUUCUGCUUUUUACCUUAUCAGAAUUAAAUUAAGAGAAAAAUAUAUAACCAUUUUAAAUAGAAAUUCUAGAACUUUUUAUCAGUUGAAUACAUUUGCAGAAGCCAAAUAAAUAUAAUAUAAACAAUAGAACACAAGUAUUAUUGAAUUCUACCUACUUUUGUUGCCUACUGAAGGCUCUGAAUCUGGAGUUUUCUCUUUCUUGAUAAAAAUGAGAGACUAGCAUUACAUCUGUUUCCUUGAUUUGGGGUUGAAAGAAAAUUGAAAAAACAAUAGCUUUUUUAUUUGAAAUUCGACAUGUGGGUGACAUCUGUGGUCUUCAUCUUGAGUAUCCCCAGUGGUUCAUGAUUCAUAAUUUAGCAAACGCUGGCAUAGUGUCAAAACACAAACUUUGCAGUGAAUUGGCCUUGGCUCAAAUGAAAGUUCUAUUGCUAUUAUUUCUGUGACAUUAGGCAAGUGACUUAGAUUUUCUGUACCGUAAUGUUUUUCCACAAUGGUGGUAACAUGCUCACUUCAGAUGGGUAUGGGCUAAAUUAGAAAUGAUAUGUGUCUUAAGUAAACAAUUGUUAAUAAAUACUUAUUUAAAUCCUAGGAGUCAGAGCCUUUCCUGAGUUGUAUGCUAUGCUUUCUUUUAUUUAGUCUCUACAAGAGGAUAGGGAGAAAGAGUUAAAACAACCAAAUACCUAAAUCUGCCAGCAGGCUAAUACUUGAUAUUGAGUAGACUAUAAGUAAGUUGAGGGCAAGAACUAUAUAUAAUUCAUUUUUUGCUUAUCUAGCACUUAGCACAGUCUCUGGGUAUGGUAUGUGCUCAAAGGUGAUGGUUUAAUUGAGCAGUAGUGAGGUUGCUUGGGUUUUAUUACUUGGCCUGUCCUUGUCAGUUCAGGUUGCUUUAACAGAUCUUAAAAAACAGAAAUUUGGGAUCCUUAAAAAAAGCAGAAAUUUAUUUCUCACACUUCUGGAGGCUGGGAUAUCCAAGAUCAAGUCGUAGGUUGAAAUAAUAUCUGGUAAGUUCUCACUUUCUGAUUCAUAGAUAACGCUCUUAUUUUUGAGUCUUCAUAGGUAUAAGAGCAGAGAGAGAAAGAGAACAUGCUCUCCUGUCUCUUCUUAUAAGGGCACUAAUCCCAUUCACAAGGGCUUUCUCAUAAUCUAAGUACCUCCCAAAGACCCUUUCUCCUAAUACCAUCACAGGAGUAAUAUGCAUAGUAAUCAUUUGGGGGUUAUAAAUUCAAUAUAUGGAUUUUUGUGAUGUGCAAACAUUCAGUGCAUAGCAUGGUCCAAAUACCUGCUUCCAAGCUUUUUCAAAAUAUGUGAUUUUGAAUCCUUAACUUUUUCAUAUUAAGGUGAAAAUAAACCUUACGUACUACCUUCUUUGUCUUUCUUCAUAGUUCAUGUUCUUCCUUUGGGAAAGGUUACUCCAGCUCCUCCAGUUAGUCCCAGUGAUAAAUCAUGGAACUAACUCAUGGAUUCUUGGACCACAGAAAUUUCCUAUCAAUUCCAGCUUCCUCAUUUCUGGAAGCUGGAAAGUCCGAGAUCAAGAUGACGGUAGAUUCAGUGUCUGGUGAGGGCCAUCUUCCUCAUAGAUAGUGUUUUCUUGCUGUGUCUUCAGAUG